CCCUUAGACGUUCUGAGCCGCACGCGCGCUACACUGAUGAACGCAACGAGACGACCUGUACCGAAAGGCAUGGGUAAACUUGUGAAAGUUCAUCGUGAUGGGGAUAGAUUAUUGCAAUUAUUAAUCUUCAACGAGGAAUUCCUAGUAAGCGCGAGUCAUCAGCUCGCGUUGAUUACGUCCCUGCCCUUUGUACACACCGCCCGUCGCUCCUACCGAUUGAAUGGUCCGGUGAAAUCUUCGGAUUGCUGGAUAGGAGGGCAACCACCUAUCUGCGAGAAGUUGCUUGAACCUUAUCAUUUAGAGGAAGGAGAAGUCGUAACA
rnacentral:rRNA from 1 species